rnacentral:rRNA from 1 species
GUUUAACGGCCGCGGUAUUUUGACCGUGCAAAGGUAGCGCAAUCACUUGUCUUUUAAAUAAAGACCUGUAUGAAUGGCAUAACGAGGGCUAAACUGUCUCCUUACUCCAGUUAAUGAAAUUGAUCUCCCCGUGCAGAAGCGGGGAUUAACCCAUAAGACGAGAAGACCCUGUGGAGCUUUAGAUGAUAGAUGAAUUUAUUAAAAAAUUAAUACCACAUAAAAGGUAAUUAAAACGAUGACCUCAUCUUAAAUCUUUAGUUGGGGCGACCGCGGAGUAAAACAAAACCUCCGUGAGGAUUGAGAUGAAAACCUUAUACCCAAGAAUGUCAUUUCUAAGUACCAAAAUAUUUGACCAAUUGAUCCGGCAACAGCCGAUUAACGAACCUAGUUACCCCAGGGAUAACAGCGCAAUCCUCUUUGAGAGUCCCUAUCGACAAGAGGGUUUACGACCUCGAUGUUGGAUCAGGACAUCCUAAUGGUGUAG